AGCGCGACCGGGUCGACGGCCCUGGUCACCACCAGGUAGUCGCGCAUGACGAUGGAGUGCCGGUUCUC
rfam:Nocardia cyriacigeorgica GTH-2 chromosome complete genome